rnacentral:rRNA from 1 species
AUUGAACGCUGGCGGCAGGCCUAACACAUGCAAGUCGAGCGGAUGAAGGGAGCUUGCUCCUGGAUUCAGCGGCGGACGGGUGAGUAAUGCCUAGGAAUCUGCCUGGUAGUGGGGGAUAACGUCCGGAAACGGGCGCUAAUGCCGCAUACGCCCUGAGGGAGAAAGUGGGGGAUCUUCGGACCUCACGCUAUCAGAUGAGCCUAGGUCGGAUUAGCUAGUUGGUGGGGUAAAGGCCUACCAAGGCGACGAUCCGUAACUGGUCUGAGAGGAUGAUCAGUCACACUGGAACUGAGACACGGUCCAGACUCCUACGGGAGGCAGCAGUGGGGAAUAUUGGACAAUGGGCGAAAGCCUGAUCCAGCCAUGCCGCGUGUGUGAAGAAGGUCUUCGGAUUGUAAAGCACUUUAAGUUGGGAGGAAGGGCAGUAAGUUAAUACCUUGCUGUUUUGACGUUACCAACAGAAUAAGCACCGGCUAACUUCGUG